rnacentral:rRNA from 1 species
AGAGAUGCAUUGGGUUUAAAGGGUGCGCAGGCGGUUUUGUAAGACAGAGGUGAAAUCCCCGGGCUCAACCUGGGAACUGCCUUUGUGACUGCAAGGCUGGAGUGCGGCAGAGGGGGAUGGAAUUCCGCGUGUAGCAGUGAAAUGCGUAGAUAUGCGGAGGAACACCGAUGGCGAAGGCAAUCCCCUGGGCCUGCACUGACGCUCAUGCACGAAAGCGUGGGGAGCAAACA